AGCAGUCGCCGCGGUAAUACGUAGGGUGCGAGCGUUAAUCGGAAUUGCUGGGCGUAAAGCGCACGCAGGCGGUCUGUCAAGUCAGAUGUGAAAUCCCCGGGCUUAACCUGGGAACUGCAUUUGAAACUGGCAGGCUAGAGUCUUGUAGAGGGGGGUAGAAUUCCAGGUGUAGCGGUGAAAUGCGUAGAGACCUGGAGGAAUACCGGUGGCGAAGGCGGCCCCCUGGACAAAGACUGACGCUCAGGUGCGAAAGCGUGGGGAGCAAACAGGAUUAGAUACCCCUGUAGUCCCUGUCUCUUAUAC
rnacentral:rRNA from 1 species